UUCUCCUUGCACUAAGAGAGAGCUCUGAGCUAGACCUAUCCCUCAUUCAUAUGCUAAACUCUCAAUGGACAUUCACUGUCUCUGGUGUGCAACCUUUUGUCUCCUAGGUGCAGGUCUUGUGAAUGCCAGAGUCAUCCAGACCCCCAGACACCUGAUCACAAGGACUGGCCAGGAAGUAACCCUGCAGUGUGAGCCAAUGCCCACUUAUGAUAUCCUCUACUGGUACAGACAGAAAUCAGAGCAAAGGCCACAGUUCCUGUAUGACUUUCGGAAAAAUAAAAUAGUGGAAUCAAGGGUGGAUAAGUCUAGGUUUACAGCUGAAUGGCCCAUGUACUCAUCCUCCAUUCUCAAGAUAGGUUUCACAGAACUGGAAGACUUGGCUCUGUAUCUCUGUGCCAGUUGCAAAGGCACAAGACUGUGUUCUGGAAAUACACAGUACUUUGGCAUGGGAACCCAGCUUACUGUUGUUGAUGACCUGACCAAAGUGACUCCCCCAAAGGUGACUGUGUUUCAGCCAUCUGAGGAAGAGAUUGAGAAGAAGGGAAAGGCCACUCUGGUCUGUCUGGCCACAGGCUUCUACCCUGACCUGGUGGAGCUGAGCUGGUGGGUGAAUGGGCAGAAGACCCAGAUUGGGGUCAGCACAGACCCUCAGCCUUCCAAGGAGCAGCCCCAUAAGAAUGACUCGAGCUACUCACUGAGCAGCCGGCUCCGGGUUUCUGCUCCCUUCUGGCGCAAUCCCAAGAAUAGCUUCCGUUGCCAAGUACUGUUCCAUGGGAUCUCAGAGGAUGAGGACUGGAAGGGUAAUGGGAGCAAACCUGUCACCCAGAAUGUCAGUGACCAGACCUGGGGAAAGGCAGAUUGUGGGGUCACCUCUGAGUCCUAUCAACGUAGUGUCCAGUCUGCCACUUUCUUCUAUGAGAUUCUGCUGGGGAAAGCCAUGCUGUAUGGCCUUCUGGUCAGUGCUCUGGUGUGGAGAACUAUGGCCAAGAAAAAGUAUUCUUGAGAUCAGCUGUGGACUUGACAGCAGGGAACCAAAAGCAAGUCACAUGACCCUGAGUUGGCUUUUUCAUCUAUUUCCAGUCUGUGUUCCAGAAGAGGUGCUUUUCUUUUCCUCCUCACCUUCAUCCCUUAUAGAUUUCCUCAAAGAGAACUACAUAAGCCAGAAAGAACAAAAGUGGUGUGUUAAUCACAAAACAAUAAAAAUGUCCUGGCGUGGUCUCA